rnacentral:lncRNA from 1 species
UGGCUAACUACCAAAUACAGUAACAGUCAAAUAAUAAAUUAACAAUAUUUACAUUUAACAUAAUUAUAAAAAUAUCAAAAAUUAGAAAAUUAUAAUAAAUAUAAAAUUUAUAUUUAGAAAUUUAUAAUUUUAAUUUUAAAAAAUUUAUUGAAAUUGUUUUUAUUAUAAAAUUUUAUAAUAUUAAUUAAAAUAUAAUAGAUAUAUUUUAAUAUUUUCAUAAUUUCAAUUUUAAAUUUUUUAUUAAAUUACUUUUUAUAUAUAUUAUUUAAAAAAAAAGAAAAAAAAUUUACCCUCCCGCAACUGUCCGCAACCGCAAAUGCUAGCUGGAGCCAGCGUUUGAAUUUAUAAGAUUCGGAGCGGUUUGAAGCGGUUUAGAGCGAUUUGAGUGAUUGUUGCAAACCGCCGAUAACCGUUACCAACCGUAAAAAGCUGCAUUUGCGGGUGGUAACGGGAAAACCAGUCGCCCCCUUAAUGGUGGAAGUGUGGAACAUAGGCUUGGAACGCCGAACAUGUUUGCCGAGGUUGGAUCAACACAACCAAGCAAACUCAUUUAGAAUGAAACAAGAAAAAAAAACGCUUUAAGAGCAUUACAAAAAAAAAAUGGCAAGAUGUUGUGACAAUUGUAGUAUGUAGCCAAUAUGUUUAUAUUGGCAUCAGUUGUUUUUGAUAUAUAUAUUUAUAAGAUAAUUAAAUCACAAUAAUUAUUAAAUAUUCG